UGGGGAAUAUUGCACAAUGGGCGCAAGCCUGAUGCAGCCAUGCCGCGUGUGUGAAGAAGGCCUUCGGGUUGUAAAGCACUUUCAGCGAGGAGGAAGGUGGUGAACUUAAUACGUUCAUCAAUUGACGUUACUCGCAGAAGAAGCACCGGCUAACUCCGUGCCAGCAGCCGCGGUAAUACGGAGGGUGCAAGCGUUAAUCGGAAUUACUGGGCGUAAAGCGCACGCAGGCGGUUUGUUAAGUCAGAUGUGAAAUCCCCGGGCUCAACCUGGGAACUGCAUUUGAAACUGGCAAGCUAGAGUCUCGUAGAGGGGGUAGAAUUCCAGGUGUAGCGGUGAAAUGCGUAGAGAUCUGGAGGAAUACCGGUGGCGAAGGCGGCCCCCUGGANGAAGACUGACGCUCAGGUGCGAAAGCGUGGGGAGCAAACAGAUUAGNUACCCUGGUAGUCCACGCUGUAAAACGAUGUCGAUUUUGGA
rnacentral:rRNA from 1 species